AGCCUCUGUAUCUUAUGGGGAGUUAUAAGAAGAAUGACUAUAAUGCGAACUCCAUCAUUUUUAGAUACACAAUCUUGUUUUCUUACAAAAAUGGGAUUUCUUAAAUCCUGAUGAUGGAAUAUACAAUAGAACCAUACGUCUUCGAGUCCUCAAAAGAAAAGGAUAGGCUGGCACAGCAUAUUGUUAAGUGGAUCCAUCGUUGCACAGAGGAAAAGGAUUGACUAUUGCAAUUCCAUAACACUUCAAAAUUGUAUCCGCAAAAUAUGCAAGUCCACUGAACUUCAGGGUCAAAUUUUCAGGCUUCCUUUGAGUGUAUAGCCAGAUUACAGCAACUGAAUUCUAC
rnacentral:misc_RNA from 1 species